rnacentral:rRNA from 1 species
AUCCAGACUUUGAUUCUGGCUCAGGAUGAACGCUAGCUACAGGCCUAACACAUGCAAGUCGAGGGGAAACGACAUCGAAAGCUUGCUUUUGAUGGGCGUCGACCGGCGCACGGGUGAGUAACGCGUAUCCAACCUGCCCAUCACUUGGGGAUAACCUUGCGAAAGUAAGACUAAUACCCAAUGACGUCUCUAGAAGACAUCUGAAAGAGAUUAAAGAUUUAUCGGUGAUGGAUGGGGAUGCGUCUGAUUAGCUUGUUGGCGGGGUAACGGCCCACCAAGGCAACGAUCAGUAGGGGUUCUGAGAGGGAGGUCCCCCACAUUGGAACUGAGACACGGUCCAAACUCCUACGGGAGGCAGCAGUGAGGAAUAUUGGUCAAUGGGCGAGAGCCUGAACCAGCCAAGUAGCGUGCAGGAUGACGGCCCUAUGGGUUGUAAACUGCUUUUAUAAGGGAAUAAAGUGAGUCUCGUGAGACUUUUUGCAUGUACCUUAUGAAUAAGGACCGGCUAAUUCCGUGCCAGCAGCCGCGGUAAUACGGAAGGUCCGGGCGUUAUCCGGAUUUAUUGGGUUUAAAGGGAGCGUAGGCCGGAGAUUAAGCGUGUUGUGAAAUGUAGACGCUCAACGUCUGCACUGCAGCGCGAACUGGUUUCCUUGAGUACGCACAAAGUGGGCGGAAUUCGUGGUGUAGCGGUGAAAUGCUUAGAUAUCACGAAGAACUCCGAUUGCGAAGGCAGCUCACUGGAGCGCAACUGACGCUGAAGCUCGAAAGUGCGGGUAUCGAACAGGAUUAGAUACCCUGGUAGUCCGCACGGUAAACGAUGGAUGCCCGCUGUUGGUCUGAAUAGGUCAGCGGCCAAGCGAAAGCAUUAAGCAUCCCACCUGGGGAGUACGCCGGCAACGGUGCAACUCAAAGGAAUUGACGGA